rnacentral:rRNA from 1 species
GACGUAGGGGGCCAGCGUUGCUCGGAAUUACUGGGCGUAAAGGGUUCGUAGGCGGUGCGGCAAGUUGGGAGUGAAAUCUCUGGGCUUAACCCAGAGGCUGCUUCCGAAACUGCCGUGCUAGAGUGCGGGAGAGGCCAGUGGAAUUGCAGGUGUAGCGGUGAAAUGCGUAGAUAUCUGGAGGAACACCCGUGGCGAAGGCGGCUGGCUAGAUCACAACUGACGCUGAGGAACGAAAGCUAGGGGAGCAAACAGG